UCUCUCUGUCGCUUCUCUAUUCUCCAUGGAUCUUAGAUCAAAACACAAACACAAUUAAGAUUUCUUCUCCAUCUCUCUGUCGCUUCUCUAUUCUCCAUGGCUCUUAGAUGCUGCUCCAUCAAUGUGUGACCCAAACGCCUGUUCUUCUUCUACGUUGAUUCAUCAUCCAAAUUUUAUAGCCUUGGAUUAAGAUCGAGUUUUGCUUUUCAAUCGAUUAUACGCUCCAAAUGCUUAAGGCUUUAUCUCUAUGAUAUUAUUCAUUCAUUCAAAUCUUUGAUCUUCAUCUCGACGGUGCAAUCUUCUCUCCUUAUUUGUUUGUAUGUUUUUAUUUUUUGUUAUGUGGGUUAGGUUCGUCGUUUUUAAUUUCUGUUAUGAUUAGUAAUCGUAUCACUCAUUUAAAUUGUUUGUUAUAUUGAUUUUUUAUUAUUUUUUGGGUACGAGCAGUUUUGUUAUUAUGCAGAUAGUGUGUUUGUUGGUUCGUGAUCUUUUAACCGGUUCCGAGAGGAUAAAGAUUGAAAAUUUAU
rnacentral:lncRNA from 1 species